UGAGGGGAGAUCACUUUUAUCUAGACUGCAGGAACUGAGAAUGGGUGAGGGGUGAUUCCCAAAGAGAAAAUGAAGGUUCUGUUUAUAGAAGAAUAAGAAACUAUGUUUGUCUGGUAAAAAUAGCAGUUGUCCAUUCUAUCAGUUUUCAUUCCCAUGUUACAGAAAUUCUUACCAAACAGGCUUAAAUAGUAAGCGAAUGCCUUAGUUCAUUUCACUGGCAGUUCAGAGUGGGGGUAGCCCUGGGGCAUAGCCAAAUCUGGUGAUUGAGUUCUCAGUGAUUCCUGUCAUUGCACUGGAGGCAAAAUGGCUGCAGCAAUUUCUGCCUGCCAUUAACAGCCAGAGGAAGAGAGAAGCUGGCUGGUCCAGUUGCCAUCUCUUAAGAGUGAGAAUGGCACUUUGUGAGGCCUAGGUGGGCGGGUCACCAGCCCGGCCGACAUAGUGAAACCCCGUCUCUACUAAAAAUACAAAAAUCAGCCAGAUGUGGUGGCUCAUGCCUAUAAUUCCAGCUACUUAGGAGGCUGAGGCAGGAGAAUCACGUGAACCUGGGAGGCAGAGGUUGCAGUGAGCUGAGACCACACCACUGUACUCCAGCCUGGGCAACAGAGUCAGACUCAGUUUCAAAAAAUAAAUAAACAAACAAAAAUAAAAAAUACAGGUUUGCAGGGAGGCCCUGUGGGUGGGGAAGCAUGGGCAAAGCCAUUCUCUCCUAAUGUGGCAUGUAAGGUAGAAUGCAGCAUCUUGGUCAUUCUUCCCUUUCAUCGUUUGAAUAAAGUACUUGAAGAGCAGAAAGUCGGAGGCAGGACUGGCAGUCUUUCUAUUACCUCACCUCACUCUUCCGUGAAGGUGGGACAGACAGUUGAAUGUGACUGCCAGGCCUCAGAGCUGCCUUCCUCUUGUGUCUCACUGCAGAAGCAGACACACAGAAGGGCACCUUUUCUUUUUCGUAGUUCUUGGCUUGGGUUGACCACCAUGAGGUGAAGGAGUUUUGGAGGACAUUUUCUCAGGGUGGUCAGUAUUUUGUGCUGUGUGCCAUAGCUGGGGUACACAAUGGAUUUUUUUUUUUUUUUUACUUUUUUUAAAUAAGCAGGAUUUUUUUUUCAGAGAAAGAUAUAAAUUGACCAUUUGAGCUGUGGAAGAUAAUAUGGAGAUAAUGCCAACAUUUAAUCAUUUUCAUCCAAACAUAUAUCUUACUCAUUUCAAUAUUUUUCUUCUCUCAUCCGUGUAGCAAGCUAGUCAUUUCCCAGUUCAGAAAGAUACCUGUAUGAUAUACCCAACUUUUAGAAUUUUGAUGCUGUAAAAUUCCUAGUAUGUCUCUCUGCCAUAAGAAAACAGCUAUUGACAUUUUUGUGUAUUUCAAUCUAAUUUAAAAUGUUUUUAUGAACAAACCCCUACAAAUGAUCUUAAACAGUUUUGUUUCCUGCUCAUUUUCACUUAACAUUAUAUCAUGAACACUUUUUUUUUAGUCAUUGAAUAUUCUCUGUAAGCAUGAUUUUUAAAGAUUGCUGCACUUCCAGUCAAUCUACAGUGG
rnacentral:lncRNA from 1 species